rnacentral:misc_RNA from 1 species
UAACAGCUCAAUCCUGCAAACCCUAAAAUAAAAAAUCGUAAAUUUGUUUGCGUUCCUCCGCCACAACUCACGAGUCUGAUAGGAUUCCAAAUUCUUAUCUCAAUCUCUCUUGCUCUUUAACUUCCAUUCCAUUGCUGCCUGGCUCUUCGCAUAUUGCUUCUCACUGAUCAAAUUCCACUUUCGCAGCCACAACACUGCCGCCAAUCGCCAUGGCUAGCCGAGGAGGCAGCGGUGG